GCGUUUUCUCUCCGGCUCACCCCAAUGAAGCCAGCUGCCAUGUUGUGAGCUGCCCUACAGAGAGGUCCCCACAGCAAGGAACAGAAGAAGGUCUCCAGGUGACUACCAGCAAGGAACUGAGGACUUCAGUCCAACAUCGAGAGAGCAGUGAAUCCUGCCAACAGUCACCUUCAUCAAGGUGCUGUUCCACUGGGCUUUGAAAGAACUCAAUCUCCAGGCCUUCUUCAGGUUCGCUGCUGCUGAAAUGGUCUCUUCCAUCAGGUACUUUUGCUGGUGAUAAUUUCGGUGCCUGUGGACAAGGGUAGAGUGGGCCUAGUCCCUGGAGAGGU
rnacentral:lncRNA from 1 species